GAGGGACUUUCAGGGGCAGCUGUGUUUUACUGACCCAGUCAUAAUGCCCCUAAAAAUCCUUAU
ncrna:Ornithorhynchus anatinus (platypus) microRNA oan-mir-365 precursor (oan-mir-365-2)